UUCUGAGGCUCAAGAAACCACGAGCUGGACUGUGGGGAACUGACUUCUUUUCCUUUUAGAAGAAAUAAACACACAAACACAUUAUCUAACUCUCAGAGUGUUGCGAGAAAGAAAUCAUUGCUCUUUGCCGAGUAGGAAAAUGAAGAAUCAGCCUUGUGGGCAAGAGGAGGAGGAUCACAUUGGCCAGUAGGCAGUACCCUGUGCUGGCAGAGGGAGAAAUCUGAGCCUCAGCCGAGCCAGGAACAGUCUUUGUACAAACUAUUUGGUUUCAAGUUGCGAGUCUCCGGAGUCUCUGGGAAGGUGCCCCAUGGGCAGGGCUCCCUUUGCAGAGCCCUGAGGAUUGAUUGAGAAUCCCCCAUCCCCAGCCACCCAGAGGGCAAGCAGGUGAAGAAAUGGUGACUUGGCGAGGUUAUGAUUGGCCAAGACCCCCAGAUACCCAUUAUCACUCCCGAGGCUAUUGCUUCUUCAAGCCAGUUGGUACUCAGAAUGGCACUGUGCUAACCACGUUUCAAACUCAUUCCUUCAAGCAUCUCUGCGUCCUGUGCAGGUCAGUGGCAGCGUUAUGUCCACUUUCCAAUGAAGACACCACCCACAAAGUUGGUUAUACAGCCAGAAAGAGAGGAGCAAUUCAAUCUCCUACACGUUCUGUGAUACCAGCUCUCUGUAAUAUAUCAAAAUGAAUGUGGCGUUUGUGUAAUGCACACAUCCACUAACGGAGAAACUUAAUUUUGAAUCAUUUGAAAGGAGCUUUAGACACCAAUCCAGAACUCAGCUGUGAUCUCUGUUUUCUGCCCACGCUGGCUGAGCACGUUAGGCUGGACACUGGUCCUGAUCUGGUCUCCUUGUUUGCUGAAUGGAAGCUGCAAUAAGGCUUGAGUGAGAUUAUGAUUUCAGUCAUCCAGAAGGCUACCUGCCACUUCAAUCAAGGUGACAAACACACAUUCUUCACCCUUAGAUAGAGUUCCUUUGACAUUUGGGGGGGGGGACUUGACAUUCACGGUAAUUCUUGCCCAUUUUCUCCCCAAUUUCUCUAUUUUUAGCUCUUGAGUGUUAGCCUUGUAUGCUUGGCAUGAUUACCAGGCUGUUGUUGAUAGUGCAGGUGCAAGUGUGUGUGAUGAGGAGGGAGGUUUGGACUCUGACAUUGUCUGAGAGAAGUGUUCUCUGUUUCAGGCAGGAUAAAAAGAAAAGCCUGUAAAAAUCCCAUUAAGCAGACUGUCAGGCUCUUUAGACAUCAAAGAACUCUCACAACACAAUAUUUUAAUGAUUUAAGUGUAAAUGAAUCAGAAACACAUGGGUUGCAUUUCUUUUGGAAUACACAAGGGUUUUCAAACCAAAGGAGAAAGAACUUGGCAAGAUGUACACAGGGCGCAGUGGCCUUGCCCGGGAAAGGAGCCCCGCAAUUCUCCCUGCAGCCUAGCCUGCCCUCCCCGGAUUCCGCAUACAUGGGGGGCAAAUCCUGAAAUCCAGGCUUCCUCUUGAAUAUCUGAGAAACAGAGAACUGCAGAGUGCAAUUUGGAAUUAGAGUGUGGAGGGAGAUGUGGCGGAACAUGACUAUAAUCCCCAUCCUCAGGAGAGGGGCCAGAAGACAGUGAAUUCAACGCUAGUCUUGGCUGCACAGCGACAACUGCAUCAAAAACCAAAGCAAAACAAAAUAAAGGUUAGGUCAUUCAGCACAUUGACCAGCAGGAUGCCAAAUACCAUGACAUCUGACCGUCCAGGUCAUCCCAGUAAUGUGGGAAAUUGAAAGAAUCCCCACGCUUCAUCCCAGGAGACUCAAAUUCACUCAGUCACAAUGUAGUUGUUGAACCCGAAACCACGAACCCCUGCCUGGCAUGAUUGCACCAUUUUUGAUGCCUACAACAUAGAGCACCUUAGAAUUAAGGUCAUCUUAGAUUUUACGCAUUUAGGCAUUCAGAAAUGCCUAUAUGUUCUUGCAGGGAAUAGUCACAUGAUUUCUCCCAGAUGCAAGCAUCGAGGUUUAGAGAAAUUCUGAGUGCCUGUAAGUAGAUAAUGGCCAUGUGGAGUUCAGGCCUGCCUGACUUCAAUCCCAAGACUCAUUCUUUCAUUAGUAGACUUGAUACCUUUUGUUGAAUUUGAAUAUUCAUGACACAUGCUAUUAUGGAUAUAUAUAUAUAUCUCCAAAUCCAGGGAGGGAGGUGGUAGCCGUCUGAGUGUGAAUCCAGGUCACCUCGUCCACUGAGCUAGCUAUACAUAGGUUUCUUUUCCUCGGCUGCUUUUGUCUUUUUGUCACUGUGGCUCUGUAGUAUAACUUGAAGUCUGAAGUCUGGUGUGAUAUUUUUUCCUAUCUCAGCGUUGUUCCUUUUGCUCAGGAUGGCUUUGGCCUAUCUAGGCUCUCUCUCUCUCUCUCUCUCUCUCUCUCUCUCUCUCUUUC